AAAAAGAGAUCCGCUACCCUGAACAAACCCGAUCCUGUCUGAUCUCGGAAGCUAAGCAGGGUCGGGCCUGGUUAGUACUUGGAUGGGAGACCACCUAGGAAGACCAGGUGCUGUAGAUG
rnacentral:rRNA from 1 species